rnacentral:rRNA from 1 species
UACGUAGGGACCAAGCGUUGUUCGGAUUUACUGGGCGUAAAGGGCGCGUAGGCGGCUUGACAAGUCACUUGUGAAAUCUCCGGGCUUAACUCAGAACGGCCAAGUGAAACUGUCAUGCUAGAGUGCAGAAGGGGCAAUCGGAAUUCUUGGUGUAGCGGUGAAAUGCGUAGAUAUCAAGAGGAACACCUGAGGUGAAGACGGGUUGCUGGGCUGACACUGACGCUGAGGCGCGAAAGCCAGGGGAGCAAACGGG